rnacentral:rRNA from 1 species
UACGGAGGGUGCAAGCGUUAUCCGGAUUCACUGGGUUUAAAGGGUGCGUAGGAGGGCAGGUAAGUCAGUGGUGAAAUCUCCAAGCUUAACUUGGAAACUGCCGUUGAUACUAUCUGUCUUGAAUACCGUGGAGGUGAGCGGAAUAUGUCAUGUAGCGGUGAAAUGCUUAGAUAUGACAUAGAACACCAAUUGCGAAGGCAGCUCGCUACACGAAUAUUGACGCUGAGGCACGAAAGCGUGGGGAGCAAACAGG